AGCCCCUAUAAAAUCAACCUCUGUAUACUCAUGCUCUGUUCCAUGCACUGUAUAAACUUCCUCUUCAUCUGCUUCCAUGUCAUCCACUUCAUCAACUACAUACACGUCAUCACCUUCUACUGAUUCAUCAAAAAUCUCAAUUGCAUAGCAUGGUUGCUGCUCAUUCAAUGCUUCACCAGACUUUUGAACCUUCACCAACUCCUCGCCAGUCUCAUAAUCAAACACUCGAACAUCCUUCUGUUCUG
rnacentral:lncRNA from 1 species